GAGGAAAGUCCGGGCUCUAUUUAUAAAUAUAUAGCUUUAUAAAAUAAAGUGUAGGUAACUAUGAGGAUAGUGCCACAGAAAUAUACCGCCUGAAUUUUAUAGGUAAGGGUGCAAUGGUUCGGUAAGAGCGUACCAGAGAUAUUGUUAAAGUAUUUGCUAGGUAAACCCCAUAUUGGAGCAAAGAGGUUACAAGAUAUAUAAUAAGUACUAUUUUUAUAAUUUUUAUAUAUACUUUAUUUUAGUAAUCAUUAAUACCGCAUAAAGUAUUUUAUUUUACUUCAGAUUAAUAAUUACCCUUUUCAUAUUUAGUUGAUUUAAUUAAUUUUUUGAAAAGAACUAAACCCGGCUUAU
rnacentral:RNase_P_RNA from 1 species